AUCUUUCUCGCUGGGGAGCAACAGGGGCGACGCCAGACCGUCCCGUUUCCGGUCUCUAUAAAGGAACACACGGAGGCAUUUGGUAUUCUACCCAACAGUCCCAUCAAGAGAGAAGACCAGGAGGAGUGUGCACCUAGAACUUUACAUUGAAGGGCGGGUAGGAUUAUUUAAGUGGUGCAAAGAAUGGGAGGACGAGGAUGGGGUAGAAACCACAGCGGAAGUGAAGGAGUAGGACCCGGAAAUGAGCCUGGUGUGGGGGGAGAAUGUCUCUGUGGUGACUGGAGCAGAAAGUAUUGUAGGGGGCAGGGGCGGGGUAAUAAAGAAUUGAGGAGGCGUCCAUGGCCUCGGACAGCCUCACACCAGAGCCUGGAGUUAGCGUCCAACCACCUUUUACUUUUAGGGAUAGGCCCCCAAAGCCUGCUCACUGACUGCCAAAAGAUAGGAAAACUGAGACUGUGAGCAGCUAAGUGAUCCAUUGAGUGUCAUAGAGAUAGUAUCAAAGGGAGGACUUGGACUCAGAUCUAUACGGACUCCUAGUUCUACACUCUCUCUACAGUGCCUCCUAGCUACCUAAAUAAAUGUUUUUGUUUUUCAA